AGAUUAGAAAAAAUUUAUGAUUAUUAUUAUUAUUAUUUCUCUUUAUCACAGGUUUUGCUGGAGCUCCGGGAGUCUUACAUGCGUAGCAUGGUUGGUACC